rnacentral:rRNA from 1 species
UCAGGCCUAACACAUGCAAGUCGAACGGCAGCACGGGAGCAAUCCUGGUGGCGAGUGGCGAACGGGUGAGUAAUACAUCGGAACGUGCCCAAUCGUGGGGGAUAACGUAGCGAAAGCUACGCUAAUACCGCAUACGAUCUACGGAUGAAAGCGGGGGAUCGCAAGACCUCGCGCGAAUGGAGCGGCCGAUGGCAGAUUAGGUAGUUGGUGGGGUAAAGGCUCACCAAGCCAACGAUCUGUAGCUGGUCUGAGAGGACGACCAGCCACACUGGAACUGAGACACGGUCCAGACUCCUACGGGAGGCAGCAGUGGGGAAUUUUGGACAAUGGGCGCAAGCCUGAUCCAGCAAUGCCGCGUGCAGGAUGAAGGCCUUCGGGUUGUAAACUGCUUUUGUACGGAACGAAACGGCGAGCUCUAAUACAGUUGCUAAUGAC